ACUGAACGCUGGCGGCAGGCCUAACACAUGCAAGUCGAACGGUAGCACAGAGAGCUUGCUCUUGGGUGACGAGUGGCGGACGGGUGAGUAAUGUCUGGGAAACUGCCCGAUGGAGGGGGAUAACUACUGGAAACGGUAGCUAAUACCGCAUAACGUCUUCGGACCAAAGUGGGGGACCUUCGGGCCUCACACCAUCGGAUGUGCCCAGAUGGGAUUAGCUAGUAGGUGGGGUAAUGGCUCACCUAGGCGACGAUCCCUAGCUGGUCUGGGAGGAUGACCAGCCACACUGGAACUGAGACACGGUCCAGACUCCUACGGGAGGCAGCAGUGGGGAAUAUUGCACAAUGGGCGCAAGCCUGAUGCAGCCAGGCCGCGUGUAUGAAGAAGGCCUUCGGGUUGUAAAGUACUUUCAGCGGGGAGGAAGGCGAUGGAGUUAAUAGCUUCAUCGAUUGACGUUACCCGCAGAAGAAGCACCGGCUAACUCCGUGCCAGCCGCCGCCGUAA
rnacentral:rRNA from 1 species